AGAUUUGUUGCCAUCACGUCAGCAGGGCAGGAGGCAGCUAAAAUCAGCUUCCUGCCAUAAGGGAAUACGCGGCAGAUGGCACUGUUUCUUUAGCAGUCUGCACCAGCCUCCUUUUCCCUUUGUGGGAAGUUCCAGGCUCAGGAUUUCACCUCUGUGAAGGAAAAGAUGUGGUACAUCAUGUUUUGAAGAACAUAAGCAGAUUUGACAGAAGUCUGGAACUAAGGAUGUGCUUUCAUGGAAAUGGAAAUUUAAGGCUGCAUGGAUUUCACUCCCAUCUCUUAAGCAACCAUCUUGGACCAUCUUCUUUUGGAAGAGACACCCACCAUAUGUACAUUCAUUGUCAACAGUUUGGAUUCUGAGUUUUCUUGGAUUAAUAAAUACUCCUGAUUUUCUAGCAA